GCGAGGAGCUGAGAGCAGGCGAUGCCAGCGCGGAAGCGAGCUGUCAGAACCCGGGAGGAGGCGAGGAAGACGUGGGAAAGUGCAGUGUCAUGGAGACCCAGGCAGGAGGCGUGGCCAGCCGGGCGCCGGGAGGCAGGAAACUGUCUACGGUCACCUGGAACCUGUUCUCCUAGCUCGACAUGUACAAGAGGGCCAGUCCUGCGUGAUGACCUAGGAUUGGCUCUGAGGACGAGGGCAUGUGCACGAAGCUCGGGAUCCGGCUGCAGCUGCACGGCCACCCUGAGGGCUGCUCCCUGGCUCAUGACAGGCUCUGAAAGGACCCCGGCCUUCAGCUAAUGGGACUAUGCAGACCAGCUCUGCCACCCCUGCCUAUGCCGCUCACCACUGAAGCUCCCCGAGCCUCCAGUUUCUCAUCCGCAAAAUGGGUCCAAGUUGUCACUGGAGUGUCGUCCUGUUGGCUGGUUGAAUACCAAAACGAAUACUUGUGUGGGAAGCCAGGAGCCUCAGCAGCCCCCUACUCAGGAUGUCAGGAGCAGCGGUAGCAGACAGUCUCUCUGACCACACACCCAGCCUUCAAGACAGAGCUCCGUGAACAGUUCGUGCUUAUUGAGGCCCUACUAAGUGCCGGGAACCAUGCUAAGCAUUUUACGUGUGUUACUCCCUGAAUGCGCAGAGCAGCCCAUCAAGGUUGGUACUGUGAGCACCCCAUCUUAGAGAUGAGGUAACUGAGGCUGGCACAGCCAGACACAGGGAGCUGUUAUUGGCAGGGCUGGGUUCAAAACCAGGGCUGCUGACUCUGUACCCUGCAUGAGCCUCCAACACCCCCUAGGAAGUAAAAAGCUCCAUGCACCCAAGAUGCAAUUCACGAGCAGACUCCACGCAGGUUCCCUCUGCUCGCGUGUACGGCACCCCGGUCUGCAUCUCGCUCCAGGGCUGCGGUCAUUGCUCCGCACAGGAAUGGCCUAUGCAGAGCAGUAAGUGUUGACUAAAGGUGAAGGAAUGAAUGAAACAGGUAAAUAACACAGCAGGAAGCCCGUGACAAACUGCAAAAGAGGGAUCUGAGCAAAGGGCAAGGUAUUU